rnacentral:rRNA from 1 species
GAUGAACGCUGGCGGCGUGCCUAAUACAUGCAAGUCGAGGGAAAAGACCAGUAGCUUGCUGCUCUGACGUUAGGUGCGGACGGGUGAGUAACACGUGGGUAACCUACCUAUACGCCUGAGAAAGCUUCGAGAAACCGGAGCUAAUACUGGUUAAUAUAUUGCACCACAUGGUUCAAUAGUGAAAGACGGUUUUGCUGUCACUUAUAGAUGGAUCCGCGCCGCAUUAGCUAGUUGGUAGGGUAACGGCUUACCAAGGCAACGAUGCGUAGGCGACCUGAGAGGGUGAGAAGGCCCCCUGGAACUGAACCACGGCCCAGACCACUAUGGGACGCAGCACAAGGGAGCCUUCUGCAAUGGGCUGAACCCUGGCGGAGCACAGCCGCGUGACGGAUGAAAGUCCUCCGAUCUUAAUUGUCUGCUGUUAGGGAAGAACAAUUGUGUAAGUAACUAGGCACUUCUUGACGGUACCUAAUCAGAAAGCCCCGGCUAACUACGUG